GCCAAUUAUUUGGCUUAAAAUCCCUCGCUGCUAACGCGGCGUGCCGGUUCGAUUCCGGCUCCGGGCACCA
rnacentral:tRNA from 1 species